rnacentral:rRNA from 1 species
AACGAACGCUGGCGGCAGGCCUAACACAUGCAAGUCGAACGCCCCGCAAGGGGAGUGGCAGACGGGUGAGUAACACGUGGGAACCUUCCCUAUACUACGGAAUAGCCCAGGGAAACUUGGAGUAAUACCGUAUACGCCCGAGAGGGGAAAGAUUUAUCGGUAUAGGAUGGGCCCGCGUAGGAUUAGCUAGUUGGUGAGGUAAUGGCUCACCAAGGCGACGAUCCUUAGCUGGUCUGAGAGGACGACCAGCCACACUGGGACUGAGACACGGCCCAGACUCCUACGGGAGGCAGCAGUGGGGAAUAUUGGACAAUGGGCGCAAGCCUGAUCCAGCCAUGCCGCGUGAGUGAUGAAGGCCUUAGGGUUGUAAAGCUCUUUUGCCGGGGACGAUAAUGACGGUACCCGGAGAAUAAGUCCCGGCUAACUUCGUGCCAGCCGCCGCCGUAA